CUCCUGGAUAAGGCACCCUAUUGCCAGAGUAUAAGAUCCUUGUCAACGUUUUAACGCCUGAUGUUUAUCGACGGGUAAAUCGCAGCAAAUGUUCCCAUGCUUUAAUUAUAAAUGAGGGACGGGACACCUUAAUUAAACCUUCUAUAUUAAGAUUUUGAACAACUACCAUGCCUAUCAUGUGGCCUUGUCCAGGAAAUCCCAAAUGCAGAAAAAUCUACCUCUAUGGUCGAGGAUUGAAGGCGCAUAUCGCUUCCUGUAAGCAUGCGCAGUCCAAAAGAGUUCGCGGAAGGCGGGAAGCUUUGGAGACAAUGUUCAGUGUGGUGUGUUUUACAGAAAGCAGGAACUUGGGAAACAUAACUCUAGCCAGACGGAAGGUGCCGGACUUCAGAUACGAACCUGCUACCCUGAUUAGAAUUUAACAAUGUAUGGUAGCUUUCUAAUGCUAGUCAUUAACACUAUUGUUCAGUGAAAUUUAAUGUGAUGAAAUAUCGUAAAGCAUUUAAAGUCCUAUGUGUAAGUGCUAGAAAAAUGGAUUCUAAGUAGAGAAUAUGAAAUGUGUUUCAACCCUUUUACUUAGAAAGAAAUCCUUAAUUUUGCUGCAUAUAAACCGGACUUUUUACGAGCACGUCUUCUACUAAACAUGAUAUCUUGAAAAUAAUCAGGAAAAUUAGAUUGCUGAAAAUGUUUGAAUAUAACCGAAUAAAUUACAUUCUACUUUUAUUCAUUAAUGUACGAAUCAAAUAUGAUAAUAAAAUGCAAAAGGUUU